rnacentral:rRNA from 1 species
UGCCAGCCGCCGCGGUAAUACAGAGGGUGCAAGCGUUAAUCGGAAUUACUGGGCGUAAAGCGCGCGUAGGUGGUUCGUUAAGUUGGAUGUGAAAUCCCCGGGCUCAACCUGGGAACUGCAUCCAAAACUGGCGAGCUAGAGUAUGGUAGAGGGUGGUGGAAUUUCCUGUGUAGCGGUGAAAUGCGUAGAUAUAGGAAGGAACACCAGUGGCGAAGGCGACCACCUGGACUGAUACUGACACUGAGGUGCGAAAGCGUGGGGAGCAAACAGGAUUAGAUA